GAUCCGGUGGCCUAGUGGUUAGAGCGUCCGCCUCAGAUGUGGGAGGGAGGUCGUGGGUUCCAUCUCCGGUCGAGUCA